UUUUUCCGCCAGUCUUGGCGGAAGCCUGAGACGCAAUAGAUGGAGACUCUCCUUUUCGCCUUGGCGUACUCUUUUUUUUUUUUUCCUCCCUGGAGCUGGUCUUGUGGGGCAGCCCUAAAAUGUAUCUCCAAGUGACCCUGCACUCAUCACUUGCUGCCUUGGACUUAGUUUCCUCAUUCGUAGAAUGGAGACACCACACUUUCUGAAGUGCUUAUGAGACUUGCAGGAGCAUGGGUUCUUUGAAGAGUUUUAAAGAGAAUUCACAAUUACUGAAUAUUACAUAAUUUGAAGAUGAGUAAACUGCUUUCAUCACUGCUCUGGCAAUAAAAUCUGGAAAUCUGGAGAACUCUAGCUUCUAAAAACUAUCUUAUGAUCCAAUUCAGAAUGUGUAGUUCUGCACACAUCGUACAUUUCUUUUUCCUAAGCCAAAUGAUCAUCAAUUCAUCUAAAACCAUUGUCAGGAGGCCCUAUGCUAUGCAAGACUAAUUGUGAGUGUGACUGUAUGCAAAAACAAACAAACAAACAAGGGAAAAAAAGCUUGUUAAAAAGGGAAUUCUUUACUCAAGAGGCAGGAAAAAAAUACCUCCUGACUAGGGAAAGCACAUAUUGAUAGUUCCAGCAGCAACAAACCUGGAGAUCUCUGUCAUUUCUGUUCAAGUGCAUGAAAAGCAAGGCAGCAAAAGCUGUUGGUGCUGUGAGCAUAGAAGGCUAAGGACAUACUUCCCAGCAACUUGCUCGGACUGGACGGUGACUGGAGCUGAUUCCUGAGAUGGGAGUGUGAGCUUGGCAGGCUUUGACAUGGAGCCAGGCCAAAGUGGGAGGCCAAAUUUACAGUGUCAAAUAAACCAUGACUUAGGCGAGAUUUUGUUCAAAAGUAUCAUUGGAAGGGGUUGGAUGGUGGUGGGGUGUGGGGAGACUAUUGUAAUAAAUAGAACACUCUACACAUGAGAUCUGCAGGCAUCUCAAGAGUUAGGCAAAAAGUGGUUUUGUUUUAUAGGAGGAAUAAACAAGGAAGUGAUGUGAGGAAGUGGAUGAAGGGGUCCCAAAAGUGGGUAGUGGAUCAGGGAACAUUCUUCUGGAGGCCAGCCUGUUCUUAGGAGUGAGUGAAGACCAGCUCAGGCUGAUGGUGGGCCAAGGUUCUGGGACCUGGGGAAAGGACAGAAACUUAACCAAAGUUCAAUAAAUAAGAAUUUUGUUUCCAUUAAUUUCAGGGGAAAAAAUAGUUCAGCUAAUCUAUGAGGCAAAGAAUAGGAAUUUGGAAGGCCCAGUCUGGCCUGUCAUAAGUAAACAGGGGCAGGGGUGGGGUGAUAUGGUUAAGCUUUGUGUCCCCACCCAAAUCUCACCUU
rnacentral:lncRNA from 1 species